rnacentral:tRNA from 1 species
GAAAUGUCGCCAAACAGUUAAGGUUUUUUACUUACACUAAAACAAUUGCCCGUGCAAAUCGAGCCAUUUCGA